UCAAAACUAGUCAAGACAAACAAAUUGGAAAUGGUCAAAUGAUCAUAUUACCUUUGAACUAAGUUAAUGGAAAAAUGCAACAUUUUGUUGGAUAAUCCCACAAACACUUACUAGGAUAGAUGGUUACAUGAUAUGUAAACAACUAGCCCACUAAGUUCCACUAAUGGUUAGUGGAAUGCUAGGUGUUGAGGUUUCGCCAACUAAUUAUAUGCAAUUUUGUAUGUAAUUAGGUUAUAACUAUGGUUCAUUUCAAAUUUACAAAGACAUUUGGCCAAAAUUUGUAUUUUUGUUUUUACAAAAAAUUGACCAAAUUAUUUCUCUACCGAGAUCCCCAACUAUCGCCUUCCAAUUUUCAUCUUGCUCUCCCCAUUUUCAUUCACUUAACAGGUUCACAAUUUAGUUCUAAGUCUGGAGAAUAGUGGAUAAACUCUAGUGGUGAUCUUGGGUUUGUGUUCGUUAGGAGAUAUCGACUAAUCGGGAAGCUACGAAGGUAUAACUUUUAUUAACCCUAAUUUCAUUUAAUUAUGGUAGUUGAUAUGCAUGUUAAUCGCUAAAUUAGUUUAGAUGCAAUUAAAGUAGAAUUUAUUUGUAUUUCGCCGUACAUCUACUGUUUUCCAUCAGUUUUGAGAUUGGUUGUCUCUAUAGCAUGUUUGAAACUUUUGGCUUUUGUUCGUCCCCAUCAUUUUUUUUCCUUUUAAUUUUUCUUAAUUUUUCUUUUGUUUCUAUUUCUUCUUCUACAGUUUCUUCACUACUAUCACUGUCGAUCUCUUCUUCAAUUUCAAUAUCAUCAACAUCAACAACUUGAUUCACCUUUUGUCUUCCUUUUGUCAUGAACAAAAUUCCUUCUUAUAAGUAUUUGUAUCUUCUUCAUUUUUCUCACAUUCGACUUUCUCAUACUCUUUUUCUAUUUUCUUUUCUUCAACGACUUGCUGCAAGAAAUUGUUGAAGUUAAUAACAAGAACAAUGAAUGGUAGGCAAUGAUAGUUAUUUAUUCUUUUUAGGUACACAGAGACAGUGAAAUAUCACAAUAUUUACCAAUUGCUCAUUACUUUGUUUUGUUUUGUUUUUCCUCCUCUUAUUUUCUUCUUUUUCACUUUCGUCUCAUGUUUCAUUAUUUUUUCUUAAUCUUCAGCUUCUUCUUCUUUUUCU
rnacentral:lncRNA from 1 species